rnacentral:rRNA from 1 species
GAUGAACGCUGGCGGCGUGCCUAAUACAUGCAAGUCGAGCGAACGGACGAGAAGCUUGCUUUUCUGAUGUUAGCGGCGGACGGGUGAGUAACACGUGGAUAACCUACCUAUAAGACUGGGAUAACUUCGGGAAACCGGAGCUAAUACCGGAUAAUAUUCUGAACCGCAUGGUGCAAAAGUGAAAGACGGUCUUGCUGGCACGUAUAGAUGGAUCCGCGCUGCAUUAGCUGGUUGGUAAGGUAACGGCCUACCAAGGCAACGAUGCAUGGCCGACCUGAGAGGGUGGUCGGCCGCACUGGAACUGGAACGCGGUCCAGGCUCCUACGGGACGCAGCAGUAGGGUAUCUUCCGCAGUGGGCGAAAACCUGACAGAGCAGCGCCGCGUGAGUGAUGAAGGUCUUCGGAUCGGAAAACUCUGUUAUUAGGUAAAAACAUAUUUGUAAGUAACUGUGCACAUCUUGACGGUACCUGAUCAGAAAGCCCCGGCUAACUACGUG